GCCCCAGUAGCUCAGCGGAUUAGAGCAUCCGGUUUCUACCCGGCUGGUCGCGGGUUCGAAUCCUGUCUGGGGCGCAA
rnacentral:tRNA from 3 species